rnacentral:rRNA from 1 species
AUGUACUCACUACUUGUUCAUAGUAGUGGUUGCAGUAAACUCUACCCUGCUAACAAUUAACGCAGGAGACUACAUCUUCUACACCGAUUGGGCCUGGACUUCGUUUGUCAUAUUCUCAAUAUCACAAUCGUUGAUGUUGGUAGUUGGCGCAUGCUACUAUCUUACAUUCACGGGAGUCCCAGGAACAGCAACGUAUUACGCGUUGAUAAUGACCGUCUACACAUGGGUAGCAAAAGGUGCAUGGUUUGCACUCGGAUACCCAUAUGACUUCAUUGGGCGACAAAGAAGAACAAGCACUCACUGAUUCUAUUCGGUGGCGUGAUGUGUGGAAUGUCAUUGCCGUUGUUUAACAUGGUCAACCUCAUCACUGUGGCUGAUCCAUUAGAGACUGCAUUCAAAUAUCCAAGACCAACGCUCGCUCCAUAUAUGACUCCGAUAGAACCUGCGGUAGGCAAGUUCUAUAACAGUCCAGUCGCAUUGGGCGCAGGCGCAGGUGCUGUAUUAUCAGUAACCAUGGCCGCGCUAGGAUGUAAGCUGAACACGUGG